CACGUGGAUAACCUACCUAUAAGACUGGGAUNNCUUCGGGAAACCGGAGCUAAUACCGGAUAAGAUUUUGAACCGCAUGGUUCAAUAGUGAAAGACGGCCUUGCUGUCACUUAUAGAUGGAUCCGCGCCGUAUUAGCUAGUUGGUAAGGUAACGGCUUACCAAGGCAACGAUACGUAGCCGACCUGAGAGGGUGAUCGGCCACACUGGAACUGAGACACGGUCCAGACUCCUACGGGAGGCAGCAGUAGGGAAUCUUCCGCAAUGGGCGAAAGCCUGACGGAGCAACGCCGCGUGAGUGAUGAAGGUCUUCGGAUCGUAAAACUCUGUUAUCAGGGAAGAACAAACGUGUAAGUAACUGUGCACGUCUUGACGGUACCUGAUCAGAAAGCCACGGCUAACUACGUGCCAGCAGCCGCGGUAAUACGUAGGUGGCAAGCGUUAUCCGGAAUUAUUGGGCGUAAAGCGCGCGUAGGCGGUUUUUUAAGUCUGAUGUGAAAGCCCACGGCUCAACCGUGGAGGGUCAUUGGAAACUGGAAAACUUGAGUGCAGAAGAGGAAAGUGGAAUUCCAUGUGUAGCGGUGAAAUGCGCAGAGAUAUGGAGGAACACCAGUGGCGAAGGCGACUUUCUGGUCUGUAACUGACGCUGAUGUGCGAAAGCGUGGGGAUCAAACAGGAUUAGAUACCCUGGUAGUCCACGCCGUAAACGAUGAGUGCUAAGUGUUAGGGGGUUUCCGCCCCNUUAGUGNUGCAGCUAACGGCAUUAANCACUCCGCCUGGGGGA
rnacentral:rRNA from 1 species